CGGCUAGGGGGCCAUCCCGGCUUACCAACCCGAUGCAAACUGCGAAUACCGGAGAAUGUUAUCACGGGAGACACACGGCGGGUGCUAACGUCCGUCGUGAAGAGGGAAACAACCCAGACCGCCAGCUAAGGUCCCAAAGUCAUGGUUAAGUGGGAAACGAUGUGGGAAGGCCCAGACAGCCAGGAUGUUGGCUUAGAAGCAGCCAUCAUUUAAAGAAAGCGUAAUAGCUCACUGGUCGAGUCGGCCUGCGCGGAAGAUGUAACGGGGCUAAACCAUGCACCGAAGCUGCGGCAGCGACGCUUAUGCGUUCGUUGGGUAGGGGAGCGUUCUGUAAGCCUGCGAAGGUGGCCUGUGAGGGUUGCUGGAGGUAUCAGAAGUGCGAAUGCUGACAUAAGUAACGAUAAAGCGGGUGAAAAGCCCGCUCGCCGGAAGACCAAGGGUUCCUGUCCAACGUUAAUCGGGGCAGGGUGAGUCGACCCCUAAGGCGAGGCCGAAAGGCGUAGUCGAUGGGAAACGGGUUAAUAUUCCCGUACUUGGUGUUACUGCGAAGGGGGGACGGAGAAGGCUAUGUUGGCCGGGCGACGGUUGUCCCGGUUUAAGCGUGUAGGU
rnacentral:rRNA from 1 species